GAGAGCGGUGGCGGCGGCUGCGCCCGGCUGUGCGCCUCUCGCCGCCGGAGGAAGAUGAGGCUGAAGAUCGGGCUCCUCUUACGCAGUUUGCUGGUGGUGGGCAGCUUCCUGGUGCUGGUGGUCCUCUGGUCCUCCCUAUCCCCGCGGCCGGACGAGCCGAGCCCGCUGAGCAGGAUGAGGGAAGACAGAGCUGUUAAUAACCCCAUGCCUGACCGAGGGGGCAAUGGACUAGCUCCUGGGGAUGACAGAUUCAAACCCGUGGUGCCCUGGCCUCAUGUUGAAGGAGUAGAAGUGGACUUAGAGUCUAUUAGAAGAAAAAACAAGGCCAAACAUGAACAAGAGCGCCAUGCUGGAGGAGAUAACCAGAAAGACAUAAUGCAGAGGCAGUAUCUCACAUUUAAGCCUCAGACUUUCACGUACCGUGAUCCUGUGCUCCGCCCAGGGGUCCUCGGUAACUUUGAACCCAAAGAGCCCGAGCCUCACGGAGUGGUUGGUGGCCCUGGAGAGAAAGCCAAGCCGUUGGUUUUGGGACCAGAAUUCAAACAUGCAGUUCAAGCCAGCAUUAAAGAGUUUGGAUUUAACAUGGUGGCGAGUGACAUGAUCUCCCUGGACCGCAGCGUCAGUGACUUACGACAAGAAGAAUGCAAGUAUUGGCAUUAUGAUGAAAACCUGCUCACGGCCAGCAUUGUCAUCGUCUUCCAUAACGAAGGGUGGUCCACCCUCAUGAGAACAGUUCACAGCGUAAUUAAAAGGACUCCAAGGAAAUACUUAGCAGAAAUCGUGUUAAUUGACGAUUUCAGUAACAAAGAACACUUAAAAGAAAAACUGGAUGACUAUAUUAAGCUGUGGAAUGGCCUAGUCAAGGUAUUUCGAAAUGAGAGAAGAGAAGGUUUAAUUCAGGCACGAAGUAUCGGUGCCCAGAAGGCUAAACUUGGACAGGUUUUGAUAUACCUCGAUGCCCACUGUGAGGUGGCAGUUAACUGGUAUGCACCACUCGUAGCUCCCAUAUCAAAGGACAGAACCACUUGCACUGUGCCGAUUAUAGAUGUCAUAAAUGGCAACACUUAUGAAAUUGUACCCCAAGGGGGUGGUGACGAAGAUGGGUAUGCCCGAGGAGCAUGGGAUUGGAGUAUGCUCUGGAAACGGGUGCCUCUGACCCCUCAAGAGAAGAGAAUGAGAAAGACAAAAACUGAACCAUAUCGGUCCCCAGCCAUGGCUGGAGGAUUAUUCGCCAUUGAACGAGACUUCUUCUUCGAGCUGGGUCUCUACGAUCCAGGCCUCCAGAUUUGGGGUGGUGAAAACUUUGAGAUCUCAUACAAGAUCUGGCAGUGCGGUGGCAAGUUACUGUUUGUCCCUUGUUCCCGUGUCGGGCACAUCUACCGUCUUGAGGGCUGGCAGGGGAACCCUCCGCCUGUCUAUGUCGGGUCUUCUCCUACCCUAAAGAAUUACGUCAGAGUUGUAGAGGUCUGGUGGGAUGAGUAUAAAGACUACUUCUAUGCCAGUCGCCCUGAAUCAAAGGCAUUACCAUAUGGGGAUAUAUCAGAGCUGAAGAAAUUUCGAGAAGAUCACAACUGCAAAAGUUUCAAAUGGUUCAUGGAAGAAAUAGCUUAUGAUAUCACCUCACACUACCCUCUGCCGCCCAAAAAUGUCGACUGGGGAGAAAUCAGAGGCUUUGAAACUGUGUACUGCAUUGACAGCAUGGGGAAGACAAACGGAGGCUUUGUUGAGCUGGGCCCCUGCCACAGGAUGGGCGGGAAUCAGCUUUUCCGAAUCAACGAAGCCAAUCAACUCAUGCAGUAUGACCAGUGUUUGACGAAGGGUCCUGAUGGAUCCAAAAUUAUGAUUACACACUGUAAUCUGAAUGAAUUUAAGGAAUGGCAGUACUUCAAGUAUUGUCAUGGAAGGAGGCCACCUGGAGUCCAUGCAGACCCACUGCUAACUUAUCAACACAGGAAAACCAGUGUUCCCUGAGGCAGUCAUCACCAUUGUUCUAAUAUCAAAGUCGAUCUUUUUAAUCCAAAAGAGUCAUUCAUUAAAAUUACCUAUAUAAUGUGUGGGGAUAGAGACGAACAAAUAACAUGUUGGACUCAAGGCCUUCAAAGCUUCUCAUCAUGGCUGCUUGCUAAAUGCAACAGGAUACGUGUUGCCUGUUGCUUGUUUUAAAGGUCAUGUUUAGUUUUUUGUGUGUGUGUGUUUUUUGCGGUACGCGGGCCUCUCACUGUUGUGGCCUCUCCCGUUGCGGAGCACAGGCUCCGGACGCGCAGGCUCAGCGGCCAUGGCUCACGGGCCCAGCCGCUCCGCGGCAUGUGGGAUCCUCCCGGACCGGGGCACGAACCCGUGUCCCCUGCAUCGGCAGGCGGACUCUCAACCACUGCGCCACCAGGGAAGCCCCAUGUUUAGUUUUUCACUUGAGUCUGUGGGAGCAGUUUUUCUGUUUCAGCUGUGAAUAUUCAGAGUUCUGUGCCAGGUUGAGUAUUCCAACAUGAUAAUGGUUUUCUGAAUAAUUUUCAAAGUCUAGACUUGGCUAAAAUAAAUCAAUUUAUUAUGAAACAAAAAGUUGGGGAGGCUGCCCCAGAUUGAAGAAACUGGCAGCCCUGAACUUUCUUUACGCAUCUUGUAUUCCUUGUCACGUCCUCCCUGUCAGCAAACGCUUGUUUGCCACAUAGUGAUGAUAUGACCCAGCUGAAUAUUCCCAGUUAUCAUUGUGCCUAAUUACUAUGAAGUGGUAAGUAUGUGUCAGUUGCUGAUAUUUUUCUUAUAACAAGUUAGGAAGGAGAAGAUUAACAUAAACCCCAGAGAAGAGAACGUUUAUUUACACAAAGAAAGAUGAAUAAUAGCAAUGAAGGCUAGGGGUGAGUAAGGACAAUAUUAGUAAACUAAUAAAAGAAGGUUAGCAGAUGCAAAAUGACACAAGAAGCAGUGGAUAAGAAUGGAAUUGUACAUAUUUUAGAUAUUUUAAAGGGCAAAGCACUGAAUAUCCGUUUGUGCAUCAGACAUUACUAAAUAUUCACUGGGGCCCUUCAAAAAAUAUCUAAAGCCCAUCAUACUAUAAUGGCAGAGAAGGAAAAAAAGUGCAGAAGUAAAAAUAAGCAAAAUGCCAUAGGACAGCAAGAGAGAGAUUAAUAGAAGUUAUUUCUGAUGAGUUUCAUGUAGGAAGUAUCACUGCACCAGGUCUUGAGAUAUAAAAAGGCUUUUCAUGGAGAAUAAAUGAGAAAACGGGUGAGCAGAGGCGUGGCAUCAAAGUGUAGAGGAUUCUAGGAACUGCGUUUGCUCUGGUUCCCUAAGUUGUUCUCCAUGGGAAAGAGCGUGGAACUUUGUUUUGUGGGCUUUAGGGAGUGACUGACAUUAGUUAAGGAUCACAGUGAUAGGAAACAGUGGAUACUUUUAGGAAAAUAAUUCUGGAAAUACUGUCAAGUAUGGACUGGUGAACAGGAGGCCAGCUCGGUCAGUGGUUCCCACUCUGCCCCGUCUCUGGACCCCCUUUACAUCCUUACAAACCACUGACACGCUCCCCAGACAGAUUUGUUAUAGAGGUUACAGCUAACGGUAUUUCCUAAGUUGGGAAUUAAACCUGAGAAUUGUUGUAUUUAUGUAUGUAUUCACGUAAAUGUAACAAUCAUAACCAUAUUACACGUUAAUGUAAAUAACACUUUUAUAAUCCCCCCAAAAGUGAGAAGAGUGGCAUUGUUUUAUAGUUUCACAAAUGCCUUUAAUGUCUGGUUUAAUAGAUUCUUAUUCUGCUUCUGCGUUUAGUUUGAUGCAAUAUGUUGUUUUAGUUGCGUAUUUGAGGAAAAGCCGGCCUCACAUAGACGUGCAGUUGGAAAACGAGGGGUAAUUUAAUAGCCUUUUCAGAUAAUUGAGGCUGUUCUUCUUCAGUGCUACACAAGUGUGUAAGUGGUCGUUUCUUAAAAGCUUUGCAAUGUAGAAUCUGAACUCCUAUCAGUGAACAUUUUGUUCUUUGUUGCGUUAAACCCACUGGUCUGUCUCACACUGGAGUGGAUCUUUUGUAACAUCACACAUUCGCUGCUCAUUUGGAAAACAGUGGCUCACUAAGUCAUGUAAAUCUUCCAAAUGAUGGUACAUUUCAUCAUACAAUGCCAAAUAAAUCACAAAUAUAACCACCGAUUUCAUCAGAAAAGUCUUUAAGUCUUGUGCAGCUGUCAAGUUCAUGGUAAUGGAUACAAGUUUCCUACAACUCGAAUUUUUGCUUGAAAACUCAAAUUUUAUCCAUGGCAACAGAUACUGUCAGCUUUAUAUUUUUGUUUUUUCCUUGAAGUGAUGGGCUCACUUUAUUUUCUGGAAAAUGGCUACCCAGUCCCAAGUUUGCAUAAUUGUAAUCUGCCUGCAGGUUGUCCUUUCAAGUCAGAAUGACAUCCCACGAGAGAAGGAGCUCGUUCAACCCUCGGGUCCCGACAACUGCUCAUGUGCUGUCCACUCUUCCCAUACUACCUCACAGCGUCAAGAUUUAAUAAAACUAAUACGUGGACACCAGGGGGGAAAGGGUGGGGGGUGAACUGGGAGAUUAGGAUUGACAUAUGUACACCGCUGAGUAUGGAGGAGAUAUCUAGUGAGAGCCUGCCGUGUAGCGCAGGGAACUCUACUCGGUGCUCUGUGGUGACCUGGAUGGAUGGGAGGGAAAUCCAGAAGGGAGGGGAUAUGUGUAUACAUAUGUCUGAUUCACUUCUCUGUGCAGUAGGAGCUAGCACAACACUGUGAAGCGCAACUAUACCCCAAUUAAAAAUAAAAUAAAUAUUUUAAAAAUUAAUUAAUUAAAAAAAUUAAAAAUAGGAGACGAUCUACAUCCCAGGGCCAUUCAUUAUGAGGAUUAAAUGAAUUAAUACACCUAGAGCAUCUGGUAUGCGUCUACCCGGCAUAGAGCAAGUGCUCAAUAAAUGUUAAACGUUAUUAUCAUUAAAAAAAAAAAAACUAAUACGUUUUUACUGCUUUGUCAAGGGCGUUCUCAAGUGAAACUGGCUUUUUUUUCUUUUUUAAUUGUGAGUGUUCGUCCAUGGAGAACAUGACUGUGUGAUUGAUGCUACGGCCCCAGCACGUUCACCCAGCAUGGCUUUUGCGCCAUCAGUAUAAAUGUCCAUACGAUGAAGAAGGCAGAUGGGGCUCUGUGUAUUAUUAUGAAAUCGUUUCAGCCUUACAGACCCAAUCUUAGCUAGUCUGACGACCACACUCUGAACAGCCCUGAGCUGUACUGAAGGAACCUCCAGCAGGUGACCAGGGCUCGACCAAGGCAAGGGCGGUGGGGAGGGGAAAGGAUGCACGCCCAAGCCACUGCAGAUGUCCGUCCUCAGCCAGCGACUUGGAGGAAAGAAGGAGGGAAAUGCAGCCUGAGCUGUGCUGUCCUGAGCACGGGAAAGCUGGUAUCGUCAUUAGUAGGAUAGGAGCUAGAGGAGCAGGUUUGGAGGGGAAGAUGAUGAAUUUAAGUUUGUAUGUAUUGAAUUGGAGGUACCAGCAGUACAUCAUGACUGAACAAUAACAGGAUGUGGAAGACUGACGAUCAAGAGAAACACAGACUCUGGGGUGUGCCUGGUUCAUGCCUGCCCAAUUCGCUUGAAUAGUCUUCUUACGAAAGCCAGGCUGUGACUUUGUCUAAUAUCAGUGAUAUCACACAGUGCAAAUGUAACACUGUGUUUCCCUGUGUCUUCCAGAACCUGCACAGACUGACUCACAUUCCUUCCAGAAAGUGCUUGGAUCGCUCGGAGGUCCUCCAUCAAGUGUUCAUCUCCGACUGCGACUCCAGCAAAAUGACUCAAAAGUGGGAAAUAAAUAACAUCCAUAGUGUUUAGAAGGAA